UACGGAGGGUGCGAGCGUUUGUUCGGAAUCACUGGGCGUAAAGCGCGUGUAGGCGGCCCACUAAGUCUGAUGUGAAAGCCCCGGGGGCUCACCCCCCGGAAGUGCAUUUGGAAACUGGUGGACUCGAGUCCCGGAGAGGAGAGUGGAAUUCCUGGUGUAGCGGUGAAAUGCGUAGAAUAUCAGGAGGAACACCGGUGGCGAAGGCGG
rnacentral:rRNA from 1 species